rnacentral:rRNA from 1 species
UUGGUUAAGUUAGAAAGGGCGCACGGUGGAUGCCUUGGCACUAGGAGCCGAAGAAGGACGGGACUAACACCGAUAUGCUUUGGGGAGCUGUACGUAAGCGUUGAUCCAGAGAUUUCCGAAUGGGGGAACCCACUAUCUUUAGUCGGAUAGUAUCCUUACGUGAAUACAUAGCGUGAGGAAGGCAGACCCAGGGAACUGAAACAUCUAAGUACCUGGAGGAAGAGAAAGAAAAAUCGAUUUCCUGAGUAGCGGCGAGCGAAACGGAAAGAGCCCAAACCAAGAAGCUUGCUUCUUGGGGUUGUAGGACACUCUAUACGGAGUUACAAAAGAAAGUUAUAAAUGAAGCGGUCUGGAAAGGCCCGCCAAAGACGGUAACAGCCCGGUAGUUGAAAUGGCUUUCCCUCCAGAGUGGAUCCUGAGUACGGCGGAACACGUGAAAUUCCGUCGGAAUCCGGGAGGACCAUCUCCCAAGGCUAAAUACUCCCUAGUGACCGAUAGUGAACCAGUACCGUGAGGGAAAGGUGAAAAGCACCCCGGAAGGGGAGUGAAACAGUUCCUGAAACCGUGUGCCUACAAGUAGUUAGAGCCCGUUAAUGGGUGAUAGCGUGCCUUUUGUAGAAUGAACCGGCGAGUUACGAUUUGUUGCAAGGUUAAGCGGAAAAAGCGGAGCCGUAGCGAAAGCGAGUCUGAAUAGGGCGCAUAAGUAACAGGUCGUAGACCCGAAACCAGGUGAUCUACCCAUGUCCAGGAUGAAGGUAAGGUAAUACUUACUGGAGGUCCGAACCCACGCACGUUGAAAAGUGCGGGGAUGAGGUGUGGGUAGCGGAGAAAUUCCAAUCGAACUUGGAGAUAGCUGGUUCUCUCCGAAAUAGC